UUCUAAAUUUUUCUCAAAUUCAUCCUAUUUUCUUCAUCUCCACCCUCAGUACCACUUUAGUCCAAGGCAUCAUGGCCAUUUCUCACCUGGACAAGUGCAAUCACCUAUUAGCUGCUUUCGAUACCCUCCAUUCCACUCUCCACCUUGCAGCCAGAGUGGUCUUGUCAAAACGCACAUCUAAUGGAGCCACCUCUGAUUACACACUUCAAGGGCACUCCACCUCUCAGGAUAAAGAUAAAAGUUCCUUGCCAUGGUUGACAUGGUCUACCCCAAGGAGCUUUCCACUCGCAUCUUCAACCAAGUUCCCCAUUGUUUCUGCAAUAUGACCUUUGCUCAUGCUAUUCCUUCUGCCUGGAAGGUUCUGGAAGGUUCCAGGUUCUUCCCUUCCCUUUUCAUCUAGAUAUUUCUACUUUGCUCUCUGAGAUUGCAAAAACUUCCUAGGGAAAAGUUCUCACAGCAUUAUGUACAUCUCCUUCAUGACACUUGUUAAGAUUACAAAUUUGAAUUUAUUCCUGUGAUUUGACUAAUGUCUGUAUUAGUCUAUUCUCAUGCUGCUAAUAAAGACAUACCCAAGACCGGGUAAUUAAUAAAGGAAAGAGGUUUAAUUGACCCACCAUUCUGCAGGGCUGAGGAGGCCUCAGGAAACUGACAAUCAUGGUGGAAGGGGAAGCAAACACAUCCUUUUUCACAUGGUGGCAGGAAGGAAAAGUGCCGAGCAAAAGAGAAAAAAGCCUUUUAUAAAACCAUCAGAUAUCCUGAAAACUCAUUUAUUACCAUGAGAACAGCAGCAUGGGGGCAUGAGAACGCCCCAAUUUGGGUGGUGGCACAGCCAAACCAUAUAAAUCUCCAUUUGCUAAAAGAAACAUAAACUCAGGAAGGCAGUUAUAAUCAUAGAACCUAGAAAAGUGGCUCUCUUGCAGCAAAAGCUGAACAAAUAUUUUUAGAUUGGGUGGGUGGAUCUCAUGUCUAGUCCCCCAAGUGUCUCCUUAGCCCUAGACCUCAGCCACCUUUUUCCCUGGUGAGACAGACACAGAGGAAUUAGCAAAAGAAUUUAUAUCCACAAUCAGGUCUGUGUCUUAUCAGGAAACUGAGCACCCCAUGGCCUGAUGGACUGUGUACCUCAGAAUAUGUGCCUCCAAAAUUUUUUAUUAGAUGAGUAGUGACUGCAGUCUCCAAAACUCAUGCUUUCAAAUGGUCAAACCUACCAAGUCCCUGCAAGGGUCAGGGGUCUCUAAGUGGAUAGGGGUGUUUAGACCACGCCCCUUCCACUAAACAUUUUGCUUCCCUUGAGAACCAGAGGGAAAAGAUAAUGGGGACUUUCUCCAGCCCUGACAUCACCAUACCUGAUAUUUUGCUUUCUAUCCCAGAAGACUACAAUAUCUCAGACUUCUCAUCCACACAAUGAGAAUACUAAAAACCUAUCAGUCAACAGUAAUUUAUUGUACAUUUAAAAAUAACUAAAAGUAUAAUUGGAUUGUUUGUAACACAAAGAAAGGAUAAAUGCUUGAGGUGACAGAUACCCCAUUUACCCUGAUGUGAUUAUGACUCAUUGUAUGAUUGUAUCAAAAUAUCUCAUGUACCCCACAAAUAUAUACAACUACUAUGUACCCACAUAUAUUAAACAUUAAAAAAUUUUAAAAUAAAAGCGUAUCUCAUUGGACUGUAGAAAGUAUCAAGUGAGAUAACCUUUCCGAUGUGCCUGGUACUGAAUAACUAAGUGCUGAAUUAAUUUUUGUUUCUCUCUCUUUCCAGAAGGAAUGAAAUAGAAAGAAUAAAGCUGAAGGACAUUUCAUUUAUGUUCAACUAGAAAUCCAAUAUAGUUUUAGGCAAACUAUAUUUUCCCUUGCAACUGUACUCCCUUACAUACAUGUAAGUGGGAAAGAAUAAAUGUGACAAAC
rnacentral:lncRNA from 1 species